AGUGAACGCUGGCGGUAGGCCUAACACAUGCAAGUCGAACGGCAGCACAGUAAGAGCUUGCUCUUACGGGUGGCGAGUGGCGGACGGGUGAGGAAUACAUCGGAAUCUACUUUUUCGUGGGGGAUAACGUAGGGAAACUUACGCUAAUACCGCAUACGACCUACGGGUGAAAGCAGGGGAUCUUCGGACCUUGCGCGAUUGAAUGAGACGAUGUCGGAUUAGCUAGUUGGCGGGGUAAAGGCCCACCAAGGCGACGAUCCGUAGCUGGUCUGAGAGGAUGAUCAGCCGCACUGGAACUGAGACACGGUCCAGACUCCUACGGGAGGCAGCAGUGGGGAAUAUUGGACAAUGGGCGCAAGCCUGAUCCAGCCAUACCGCGUGGGUGAAGAAGGCCUUCGGGUUGUAAAGCCCUUUUGUUGGGAAAGAAAAGCAGCAGGUUAAUACCCCGCUGUUCUGACGGUACCCAAAGAAUAAGCACCGGCUAACUUCGUG
rnacentral:rRNA from 1 species